rnacentral:rRNA from 1 species
UACGUAGGUGGCAAGCGUUGUCCGGAUUUACUGGGCGUAAAGAGCGCGCAGGCAGUCGUUCAAGUCGAGUGUGAAAGCCCCCGGCUCAACUGGGGAGGGUCAUUCGAUACUGAUCGACUCGAAGGCAGGAGAGGGAAGUGGAAUUCCCGGUGUAGUGGUGAAAUGCGUAGAUAUCGGGGAAGGAACACCAGUGGCGAAGGCGACUUCCUGGCCUGUUCUUGACGCUGAGGCGCGAAAGCUAGGGGAGCAAACGGGG